UAAAUUACCGAAUGGCUUGUUUCUUAAGCCACGUGAAUAACAGAUUAAUCUAGUAAAAUGUUGUUACAUUGUAGUAUUUCCUGUAAGUGGCCACCCCUAACAGUAGACUCUGUGAAGCCUACUUAGUUUGACCCGGUUUGAUCUUUAGACGGCCAUCUACUAGUACCGUCUGUACAUGCCGGUUGCUGUACCACGGCCGUCCAGGUGAUGCUGGUGGUCGAAAAGGAGGACUAGGAAAACAGCCGACAAACAAAAUACACGGUUAAUUACAAAGUAUUUUUCAAAGUAAACCUGCAAACUUCUCAGGACUUGCUGCCAGCUGUGAAGAAGAAAUUGCUGUUCUGGGAGCAACCCAAUUAAACUACGAAGAAGAAACUGCAAACUCUUGGCCACUGCAUCCGUCCGUCAACGGACGACGGAAGGCGUGUCUGACGGAUGGGGGAGUGGUAUUUGCCGACGGAGCCACGAUCUGAUGGAUCCGUUGCAGCCUGAAAAGUUAAAAUUUUCUCUACCUCUGAAUGCAAGAGACGGAACGGACGGACCGACAAUGCAUUUCGGGAUCGCCCCAUGCAAAGUCAAUGAGAUCCGUCAACGGACGGAUGCAGUGUGCAAGGGGUGUAAGUCUCUGCCAGAUUGUCUUAAAAGCAAGCAAAGCUCUCUUGUACUAUUUCCCGGAUUGCCUCCUUGGCUUCGACCCUGCUUGUUCCUGCCCCGUCCUCGUCGUCCCUGCGCUGGUAACCUGAACAGCCUUCUGUCCCUGACCCCCUCUGCCUGCUCGCCCCUUGUCUGUCCCCAGUUAGCUUGGAUUCCCUGUUUGGACAAUAAAGCUGUUGAAC